rnacentral:rRNA from 3 species
UUAAAUUGAAGAGUUUGAUCAUGGCUCAGAUUGAACGCUGGCGGCAGGCCUAACACA